CUUCCGGCCCCGCGGCCCCGCUGCGGAGAGCACGGCCAGAAACGGAGCCGCCUGAACGAAGGUUCCGGGGGAGGAGGAGGAGAGAAAGGAGGAGGAGGAGGAGGAAGAAGAAGCAGCGGCAGCAGCAGGGAUUUGGGGUUCUGCCCCUCUGUCUGCCCACGGGCUCCCGCCGUCAGGCUGGGUCUGAGGGGUGCGUGCCCAGGCUGCCCGUGGGGACCUCCGGGCUUGCACCCAGCGCCUGGUUUGAGCCCUUCUUGCAGCAACUCAGCUUGGACAGGAGGAAAAUUAUUGUCAAGUUGUGCCAGGGGAGGUUCAGGGUGGAAAUUCAGAGACGUUUCUGCUCAGAAAGAGCAGUCAGGCACUGGGACGGGUUGCCCAGGGAGGUGGUGGUGUCACCGUCCCUGGGGGUGCUCAAGGAAAGGCUGGAUGUGGUGCUUGGGGACAGGGCUCAGUGGUGAUGGUGCUGUGUGCUUGGACCAGGUGAUCUCGGAGGUCUUUUCCAACCCCAAUGAUUCCAUGAUUCUUCCUAUUUGCAGCUAGGACAUGUUUGAAAACUCCUCGUGACUUCUCAAAGUCGUCUUUUCCCCAGCUUAACCAGCCCCCCCUUCCCCGCAGACCACGUUUCCUCAUUCCUCUCCCUUCUCUGUGCUGUCUCUGGGCACCGUGCUGCACCCUUGUUGCUGCAGGACUGUGCAGACAGACAAAUUUGGGGUGUCUUUUAAGUCGGGAUGCUGUUUAUACGGUGGGAUUUUUUUCAGAGCAAAUUAAAUUGCACAAGAUUGGCAAAGGAUGACAUGAAACAUGGAUGCAUUUUCAGGACUGAGGUUAAAGGUGCAAGAACGAGUUUUGAACAACCAAGUCUCCCAAGAAAAGGUGUUCUGUAGGAGCAGAAAUUGUCAUCAGGAGCUGGACUCUGCCUGUAAACAGUGAAUAGAUUGGAUGAGUCCUGAUUCUUCCCAGGAGCUCCGGGUUUGGUGGGAUACCCUGCAUGCAACUCACCUCUCUUCUCCUUGAAAGGGCAGCUCAGUGACCCCUACUGCUCCCUAGCCUUCUACAAACACUACAAGUAGUAAGAUUGACAUUUGCAGAUGCAGCAAAAGCUGACCAGGCAGAAAAAGUGUGUGUGGCACUCCUGUUUUCUGCUGCUGUCACCUCCCAAAAUAAUGAGUCAUUUCCCAAAAUCAUCAACCUGCUUUGGGAAAGGUACCUUGGUGGUUGUUUCCUGUCCUUUGUAACUUUUAGGUAGCACUGAUCCCAAUAAACAGGUAUAUCAGAAAUGGA